UUAUAUCCAGAUUAGAGCAGGGAGGAGAAAAGGAUCCAUUUUUCUUAUCUUUUUGGAAACACUUUACGGAGACAGAUUUCAGGUAUUAUGUCUUGUCAUUUACCCGUGAGCAGAGAUAGAAACAGUACGUGGUUAGAGUUUCUUUGUUUGGAUUUGUUCUUUCUGAUCUGAGGGGACUUUAAGGGUAGGAGCUCACAUUCAGUAAUUGAAGGGCAGGCAUCUCUCAGGGCUGAAAUGCAGCCUGCUCAGGGUUAGAAAUUCUGAGAGCAGACAUUGGAGCAGAACCCUGGGAGAGUCAUGUAACGAGCUUGACGUGUGUUGUUAAUUCCCCAAGCGGCAGCGAAAGCUCCCGGGAGGAUGGAGUUUACAUGGUUUACAGCCAGACUGAACAAACAACAGUGUGAUUAAGUUACACGCAUUAGUUGGCUCCAGAACCAGAAUAGAAAUGUACAUGUUAAUCUGGGAUGGAAAGUUUUCAACAAAGUGGAGGCCGCUUGCACUGACUUGUGGGAGAGGAGAUGGGGGAGUCAGGGGCGGUACUGGCUGUGGAAUCUGAGGCGCCCAGUGUGAUAGGAAGAUGGGGCCCCUUGCUUCAAAAUUAAGAAUUUUCAAGACGGCCACAGCAGAGCAUUAAACCAAGUGCAAGGUCCUUCUGAGCAUGGGUGGGACCCGUGAGGUCGCAGAGGCUGGAAGCCCUUGAAGCCCUGGAGAAGGGAGGUUAUAAGCUCUGGGCUAAGGAGGGGUCUGUGUACCAAGUGGCGCUGCCUGGAAGGUCAGAGAUGAAAGGCUUUCAGAUUAUAUUUCUGGAGUCACUUGGGUGCCCCAAGUCACUUUUAAGCUGCGGGGAUUCAGCCGUGAGCAAGCAAGAGCUGUUGGGUGUAUGGUUACAGCUGCGGGCUCUGGCGUCGGCCUGUCAGCUUGGAGAGUUUUAAGAGCUCCACUAACCGUGUGCAUUUCCCGUCUGUAAAUGGGCUGAAUGGUAAUAACACCCACCUCUGACGUGAGGACCAUGCCCAUCACGAGUUAUCAUGUGCAAGUGUCUGGACACCUCAAGGGUUUUAAUGGAUGUCAGCAAAGACGACAGGCAGGUAAACAGCCGUGAUGCGUGAUGGGGAGCCCUGGGCGCAUCAAGAGGGAGACGGAGGACGGGGUCAGGGAAGGCCGCCCCCUGGGUGUUUGGCCUGCCUGGAUCCUGGCUUGUUCCUUUUGGACAGAUACGGAGACUUGGGAGUCUGACACCACAAAGCUAUUUCCUCUUCUCACUCACUCUAGACCAGCCUCUCAGCGCCAUUCUAAGGAUCCAGGGGUGGCCUGGUGCUGACCUCACACGGCCUCUGUCCAGAGCAUCCUCUCCUGACCCAUCCUUCAAGGUCCUAAAAUUAUGCUCUUUUCCAGUCCUGCCCUUGCCAGGUUCUCUGUGGUCUGCUGGGUAAAGUUUGAUCCCUUGUCCGGAUAGUCACGGCCCUCCCCCUAUCUGACCACCUCUGCCUCGCUGGCCACGCCCCCUCCCAUCACCACAUUACCCCAGAACCAGCUUCCCACCCUCGCUUCAUCAGCCUCGAUCAUUUCCCCCACCUGAGAGCCUCCUUCACCUGUGUUUACAGUCAGAUUCAAUCGGCGGAUGGGGACCGAGUGCCUCUCCUCACAGGCCUUCUGUAACAGGGUACAACUGAUCCUCGUUGUUCACGGAGUCUGCGUUUGCCAACGCACCUACCCACCAACACUGAUUUGUAAGCCCCCGGCUCAGGACUUCUGCGGCUUUCUCUGCUGUUCAUGGUCAGAGCAGAAAGGCAAAAUUUUGAGUCGCUCACAUUCCCAGCUGAGAUCCAACUAAGGGAGGUGGACAGUGAAGAUGUCCUGAAGCCAAAGGUGGAAAAAUUGUUAGAGUCGCAUGUGCUUACGGAGAGAUGCUAGACCCAGCAGGGAAUGACUCAACAGAACCAUGAGCUGCAAGAAAAACCGUAGAGCGCCUGCCCCCCCAGGGAUGUGGAAGAAUCAGAGAUGUUUGUAAAAGCACAAAGUGAGCUUUGAAAGUGACAUGCGAGUGUUCUUUAAUGUUGGCAUCCAUGGGAGGGACCCCUGGGGGUCGGGGGCUACCCAAACUCCAGGCCAACAGGGCACCCACAUGGCCUGAAGAGCCUGACUCAGUGCUAUCCCAGCCAGGACCCCACCGUGUCCAACCUGCCAGGGACGUCAUGCUGCUGAGGGGAGAAAGUGGGAUUUCAGAUGGCCCGGAGGCUGCUGCCUCCCAAAAGUGCCGCCUGCUCUCUGGCGGAGGUCACAUCAUCCCUGUCCACUUUCACGUGGCCUGGAGUGGUCACCGCUGGGGUUCAGCUGCCCUGUCCCUGGGCUGCGGGGAUUCUCCGGAGCCGGUGGGUGCUGUGGUGGAUGGUACAUCCACCCGUGUUUCUUCUAUUC
ensembl:lncRNA